GAUGAACGCUGGCGGCGUGCCUAAUACAUGCAAGUCGAGCGAACAGACGAGGAGCUUGCUCCUCUGACGUUAGCGGCGGACGGGUGAGUAACACGUGGAUAACCUACCUAUAAGACUGGGAUAACUUCGGGAAACCGGAGCUAAUACCGGAUAAUAUAUUGAACCGCAUGGUUCUAUAGUGAAAGACGGUUUUGCUGUCACUUAUAGAUGGAUCCGCGCCGCAUUAGCUAGUUGGUAAGGUAACGGCUUACCAAGGCAACGAUGCGUAGCCGACCUGAGAGGGUGAUCGGCCACACUGGAACUGAGACACGGUCCAGACUCCUACGGGAGGCAGCAGUAGGGAAUCUUCCGCAAUGGGCGAAAGCCUGACGGAGCAACGCCGCGUGAGUGAUGAAGGUCUUCGGAUCGUAAAACUCUGUUAUUAGGGAAGAACAAAUGUGUAAGUAACUAUGCACGUCUUGACGGUACCUAAUCAGAAAGCCACGGCUAACUACGU
rnacentral:rRNA from 1 species